GAGUAAUGUCUGGGAAACUGCCUGAUGGAGGGGGAUAACUACUGGAAACGGUGGCUAAUACCGCAUAACGUCGCAAGACCAAAGAGGGGGACCUUCGGGCCUCUUGCCAUCAGAUGUGCCCAGAUGGGAUUAGCUUGUUGGUGAGGUAACGGCUCACCAAGGCGACGAUCCCUAGCUGGUCUGAGAGGAUGACCAGCCACACUGGAACUGAGACACGGUCCAGACUCCUACGGGAGGCAGCAGUGGGGAAUAUUGCACAAUGGGCGCAAGCCUGAUGCAGCCAUGCCGCGUGUAUGAAGAAGGCCUUCGGGUUGUAAAGUACUUUCAGCGGGGAGGAAGGUGUUGUGGUUAAUAACCGCAGCAAUUGACGUUACCCGCAGAAGAAGCACCGGCUAACUCCGUGCCAGCAGCCGCGGUAAUACGGAGGGUGCAAGCGUUAAUCGGAAUUACUGGGCGUAAAGCGCACGCAGGCGGUCUGUCAAGUCGGAUGUGAAAUCCCCGGGCUCAACCUGGGAACUGCAUUCGAAACUGGCAGGCUUGAGUCUUGUAGAGGGGGGUAGAAUUCCAGGUGUAGCGGUGAAAUGCGUAGAGAUCUGGAGGAAUACCGGUGGCGAAGGCGGCCCCCUGGACAAAGACUGACGCUCAGGUGCGAAAGCGUGGGGAGCAAACAGGAUUAGAUACCCUGGUAGUCCACGCCGUAAACGAUGUCUACUUGGAGGUUGUGCCCUUGAGGCGUGGCUUCCGGAGCUAACGCGUUAAGUAGACCGCCUGGGGAGUACGGCCGCAAGGUUAAAACUCAAAUGAAUUGACGGGGGCCCGCACAAGCGGUGGAGCAUGUGGUUUAAUUCGAUGCAACGCGAAGAACCUUACCUGGUCUUGACAUCCACAGAAGAAUCCAGAGAUGGAUUUGUGCCUUCGGGAACUGUGAGACAGGUGCUGCAUGGCUGUCGUCAGCUCGUGUUGUGAAAUGUUGGGUUAAGUCCCGCAACGAGCGCAACCCUUAUCCUUUGUUGCCAGCGGUUAGGCCGGGAACUCAAAGGAGACUGCC
rnacentral:rRNA from 1 species